AUGAGUAUUGAGGCAUUGACUUUUAUUUUGUUUUCUUGCCGUGCUUCACUUCCUGGAGCGGUUAUUUUGUCUCUUCCUGGUUAUGUUCUGAGUUGCUGUUUCCCCCUUCAUGUAGUGGUAAUUAGCAAAAUGGUUUCUUCCAUGCUCUGAUUGGCUCAGGGCCUGUAAAUUAGCCUACUGGCUUUUCAUUUGAUUUGCCUCUCUAGCUCCUGUUGGAAGCUCCUGUCUGAAGCUGAGUAUUUUCAUUCUGGUACAUACUUUGAUGACAAAAAACAACCGAGGACUACAUUUGCAUACUUAGAAUGGCUCCAUCCAUCUUAAAAAAGAUCCAUAGGUAGACGCUAAAUGGAGGAGGACAUGAAUUUGCUGACGUUCAUAUCUGCUAAACAUAGACCAUUGCAGAAGAACUUCAAAUGGUGAAGAACAGCAACAUCCAUGCCUUACCUGAGGAUUUUCCAUGGGGGAGAGGGAGUGGGCUUGUGUGUCGUGACACCCAUGUGAAUAUUAAUGGCAAAGUUAAAAGGCAGAGAGCUCUUUUCCACUAGAGCAUGCACAUUAAUGCUGUCCAUCAACGAGGGAACCAAAAAUCGUCCAUUAAUAAAUCAAUAAAGUGCUGAAGGUGUUUAAAAGCCACUGGUAUUCUUAAUUAAUAAGGCCAGGGACACAUCUGGGUUUUACAUUGCAUCAUUUUAUAUCAUGCCCUUUCUGAAUGUAUGAAAUGAAUGUAUCCAAAAUGUAUAAACAUACUGUAUCUAUAUUCCAUCAGAAUUCAUCAGCCUUUUAGUACAUUUUCAGUGGAAUUUCUAUUGAGUUGAUGCCUUUGAAUGUGGGCUGGUCAAAAUAUUUAUUUUCAAUUACAUUACAUGAUGUCAUAGAUGAAUGUCUUUUUUAAUUAUUUUACCCAGAGUGGAAAGUGCAGUGGGCGGUAAUGAUUGUGACUGGCAGUUUCUGGCUAGAAUUGUCCAUGCAAAGAGACAAGUGACUCUAUGGCAGAAAUUACAUCCACAUUCAAUACAGGAGGCUUCACAUACACUUCCUACAGAAAAGUGCAGCUUUCUUUAGCUUUCUUCUCUUGUCACAUUUGGCAUGUAAUAAUACACUGAUUACUCAAUAAAGUGCUAAAGAUGUCUAAA